CGUUUUAAGAACUUCCAGAACAUUCCGACUACGUCGGUGCUUUAAAGAAGCUUCCCGGUCCGGAUCUUCCGCUUUGUACCAAGAAUCCUGCCUUUAAUUGUAGCAAAGGAUUUGUCUCUACAAAAGACUCAUAAGUCGUCACCCUUUAGGAGCAAAUUAUUUCUCUCUGUUUCAUCUUGAGAAUACAAAUCCUUUGACACUCUUUCCAGAGGUAAUUGUCUUUGUGUCUUCUUCUAUCUGAAUGGACUUUUGCAUUCAGGCCACUAUAAUCUGAGCAACUCAGGUGGACGAAUGACCUCUACACUGCUUCUGUAUGACAACUGUGUAGUGACAAAAGACUUUUCCUAUGCCUGAGAGGAAAGUACGAGUGUGCUAGCUAACUAACUGGACUUUAUACUACAGCAUGGGCAAUUUAAACUCCAGGGGCAUUGUCUUACUUUUAGAAUAGGUAAAAAAGGUCACCUAGCACCAUGGUUGGUUCUCAUGCCUGGGUGGUUGUUUCUGCCUUUUGUUGUUCUUGCUCAUUUAUUUCUUUGCUUGUUUGGAUUGGUGUUGUGAGAUGAUAAGAGCUUCAUUGUGCUGCUCAGAGUCUCCCUCUCAUCCACGAUCCUCUCUCUGCCUUGGAUGCUGAGAUCCAGGGUGUUUGCAUGCCGCUAGCCUAACUAGAAAAUGUAGCAAUGUAUUUUGUAGCUCUUGCUUCCAAUCAUGAAGCCCUUGCUUGGCCUAUUUGAGAAUUUUCUCUUUCAGGUCCUAAUAACAACUCCCUUCGUAAAGCAAAGAGAGAGAGAGAGAGCUGAAAAAGGGAGGAGCUUCGGGAUGACUACAGCAAGUAGUCAUGUUCUCAGCACAUCCUUCAUAUUCUGCGUUGUACUUCCUGAUUUCUGAAAGAUCCGAGGUGCUACGGCUACACUUCUAUGAGAGGAAGCAUACAAAAGGAACAGAAACUUCUCACAAAGCAUCCGUACAAACCCACUGGUGUGGUAUGAAUGAGGACGGACGACAUUUAUCCUCUUAAUUAUGUCUUGGUAAAGACAGAUCACAAAAGUAACUGUCUAGGGAAAGACCAAGAAACUGUCUCAGAAUAAAAGAGACUAAGGACAAAUGAAAACCAAAUGCGAUGCAUAUUCCAUGACUUCUUUUAAACCAUAAAAGCAUUAUUAAAACACUUGGUGAAAUCUGAA